CAGCCGCCGCGGGAAUACGUAGGUGGCGAGCGUUGUCCGGAUUUAUUGGGCGUAAAGGGAGUGUAGGCGGUCUUUUAAGUCUGAUGUGAAAGCCCCCGGCUCAACCGGGGAGGGUCAUUGGAAACUGGGAAACUUGAGUGCAGAAGAGGAGAGUGGAAUUCCACGUGUAGCGGUGAAAUGCGUAGAGAUGUGGAGGAACACCAGUGGCGAAGGCGACUCUCUGGUCUGUAACUGACGCUGAGGAGCGAAAGCGUGGGGAGCGAACAGGAUUAGAUACCCCCGUAGUCCCUGUCUCUUAUAC
rnacentral:rRNA from 1 species